UACGUAGGGUGCGAGCGUUAAUCGGAAUUACUGGGCGUAAAGCGUGCGCAGGCGGUUUUGUAAGCCAGAUGUGAAAUCCCCGGGCUUAACCUGGGAAUGGCAUUUGGGACUGCAAGGCUGGAGUGUGGCAGAGGAGACUGGAAUUCCUGGUGUAGCAGUGAAAUGCGUAGAUAUCAGGAGGAACACCAGUGGCGCAAGCGGCUGACUGGCCGAGACCUGACGCUGAGACGCGACGGCGUGGGGAGCGAACAGG
rnacentral:rRNA from 1 species